CUAUAUUACCCUUAGGUACAAUUGUUUUAACGUUUUGGCAUUAUUUACUACUCACUUCUCAAAUUUAUCUGUUACAAUACAGGUUUCUCCAUUCGGGCAUUAAUGAAGUUUUUUCAUUAACUGGUGAUUAGCUCAUACUAAUCUUUUUGUCGUUCGGGUUUUAAAUCCCAAUUCCAACCAAUCCAUCCAUUCUGAGGUGUUUAAUCAGAUAAACAGUCGUGACAUAGAGAAGAUAAACAUAUUUUGCGGAAUGUUUGACAGCUGGAUAUUCCUAGGCGUCAUGGUUUGCACAGCGGCUUUCCAUGUUAUCAUAGUAGAGUUCUUGGGAGCGUUUGCUAGUACUGUUCCACUAAGCUGGCAACUAUGGUUACUCAGCAUUUUACUUGGAUCAGUUAGCAUGCUUGUAGCAGUUGUGCUCAAAUUAAUACCUGUCGAAGGGACAAUUAAGCACCAUGACGGAUAUGAAGCACUUCCUUCUGGUCCUCCAGAGGGCAUAGUUUGAAUAGGACCGUGUCAAACGCCCUUUUUUCCUUGGAACUUCCUGAGGUGGACGACUUGUACUGCUGAAUCUAGCACAACGUCUUGAGGUUGCGUCUUCGGUUAUCUGAUUGAACCUCGGUGUAGUUGGUUAGAAAGAGAAAUUUAUGCUGUUCUUAAACAUACAUCAGUUAUAUCUGCAUAUAUAUCAUUUGCGUUGUGAUUUUGUAUUUCAGUGAAGAUUAUAAAUUGAAAUUGUGUUCAUCUAAGAGAA